rnacentral:lncRNA from 10 species
GCCCUGUGGGGAAGGUGUCUUGCUUCCCCUUCACCUUCCACCAUCAGUGUAAGUUUCCUGAGGAUUCCCCAGCCGUGCUGAACUAGAUGUGGUCUCACUGUGUUGCCUAGGCUAGUCUCAAACUCCUGGCCUCAAACUAUCAUCCCACCUUAGCCUCCCAAAGUGCCGGGAUCACAAAUUUGUCCCAUAGCAUAAGAUUCACACUCAAUACUAUCAUCCUUUGGGUCUCUAAGACACCAACCUAAAAGAUACUGUUACCAAUGCAGGUACUGAGCAGAGAUUCUGGAAGAAAGCAGAAAGGGAGAAAAAGAGAAGGCUCUCCAUGUUGGUGUAAACAAUAGCUAAAAUUUAAUCAUAUGUUUUUACAUGUUAUAACUAAGGCAAAAGAUAUGAUUCCUGCCUGGGUGUGGUGGUUCAUGCUCAUGGACUUUGG